CUGGACAAUACACAAGCUGCAUUUGUUUGAGCUUUUUUCUCAAUUGGCAUUUACUUGGAUAUUGUACAGAUCUCCUUUAUAUUUUCUCCGUAAAAGCACAUGGGCAUAUGUGAAACGGAUAAGCAAAUACUUUGGGAUUUAGUUCUAUAAGUGAAAACUAGUCUUAUGGAUUUUGUCUAAGGCAACGUUAAUAAGUAGUCUAGUCAAGGAUGCGAUGAUAAUGCAUUAUGGGCACUCUACACUUGAGACAGACCAAAUAAAAGGAAACAAAAGUAAACCUUGAAUUUAGAGGUUUAAAGAAUGACUGCCUCUAAAAACCAACUAAUCACUUUGGAAACAGCCCAUGUGUCAUCGAUAUGAGUGAAACAUUUAUCCUAGUGUUAAAAUUGACUACAAAGUGUAAAUAGGAUCAUUUUGGUCAUGAAGUCAAUAUUGUCUGACACAGAGUUUGGAACCUGAGUGAGUCACAGCAAGUAAAUUAAGGUGAGGUUUGGAUUACAAUUGUCAACAAUUCAUGCCCCCUUUUGCCAAGCUCCACGUGGAAAUCGCUCUUCUGCCCACUUCACUUCCCUUCAUUGAAUGGGGCUCCGUUGUUUCAUCGCCCCCAACGUGUUCAAAACCCCUCUCCGGUUCGACAAUGCAUGCUUCCAGCAGGAUGUACCGCCAACUAUGGUUUGUUUGCGUGCUCUGCUGAAGGACCCUACCAUGCGGUAUAAGUGUUUGGAGUUCGUUGGUCCCCAAUGGUGGAUUGGACGCCCUGCCCAUAUGUUUGACACCCCUGGGUUAGAGUGUGGGGCCAAAGGUCGCCGGUUCGAAUACCCAAGCCGACAAGGUGAAAAAGGUCAAUGUGCCCUUCAGCAUGGCAAUGAACCAUAAUUUUCUUCAGGGACGCUCUACUACUAUGGCCGACCCUGUAAAACAACACACUUCACUGCAGCUAUCUUGUGUUUGUGACAAUAAAACAGUAUUAUUUA